ACUUAUGUAGCUUAGUUGGUUAAAGCACUGGUCUAGCAAAUACGGAGUCGUGGGUUUAAAUCUCACCAAAAACC
rnacentral:tRNA from 1 species